GAUCAUGGCUCAGGAUGAACGCUAGCUACAGGCUUAACACAUGCAAGUCGCGGGGCAGCAUGGUGAUUGCUUGCAAUUACUGAUGGCGACCGGCGCACGGGUGAGUAACGCGUAUCCAACCUACCCUUUACUACGGGAUAACCCGGCGAAAGUCGGACUAAUACCGUAUGUAGUCCAUUGACGGCAUCCGAUAUGGACCAAAGGCUUAGCGGUAAAGGAUGGGGAUGCGUCCGAUUAG
rnacentral:rRNA from 1 species